UGCACCGGCCGCCGACGGGGUGGAAGAUUGCCGAAUUCGGCUUUGAGUUUGUUCCGGGAUCACAACCCCCCUUGGCGAAUCCCACCGUGAUGCGCCCCCUCCGUGCUGCUUCGGGUCUACUUCUGGUAAAACCCGCUGGGUGGUGUGACGGGACGCGUGUGUAAGAUACGUGAACGUCGCAAUAACUCCUGCUGAUCCGAGAUUUACCUUCGCCAACUGGAUGAAUCCUAGUUGACGACGGGGACCGUAACGCCUGGCCCUUGGAGAUGAUUAGCUCCCCUAUCAGGGCUGCCGGCCCUCUGUAUCCCAGAUUGACUGAACGGCUAACUGGUCUGAGAGGACGACCAGACGCCUUGACACCAACCCCCCGUCCAUACGCCUUCUGAUGGGAACUGUCAAGGAUUUUUCUCCAUGGAGGAACUAAUGAAGAAGCUUGCCCUCGUUGGGGAUGAAAGUUUUCGGAAUGUAAACCCCUGUCAGCCGAGAAACAUCUGGGUGAUGUGAUACGGCUGCCUUUUCGAGGACCACUCGAGGACUCCUGGCUUCAGUCUGUGUCAAGAGCAGCGGUAGUUUUUCGACGUUGCAGCGUUGUUCGCACUCAUUGGCCAUAAACGGUGCGUAUCCGCUUAGGUUUCUCUGAGGUGAAAUCCCCGAGCUUGACUCUCUAAGCGCAUUCCAUACUGCCUAAAUCGAGGACUGGACGUGGGACUGAGACUCUCGGUGCUGGCACGUAAUGCAGAGAUUUCACGACGGAGGCCCCCUAACCCAGCUGCUCCCUCACUGUUCCUGACGCUGCAGCCAUCAUAGCUAGGGGAGCACACCGUAUUAAAUCCCGUUCGUCCCAUGACUAACACGUUCCCAGCUG
rnacentral:rRNA from 1 species